rnacentral:rRNA from 1 species
CCGACCGAAACGGGCUGACUGGAGGGGGUCAGAGGGGGGUGGAAUGCCGCGUGGAGCAGUGAAAUGCGUAGAGAUGCGGCGGAACACCGGUGGCGAAGGCGGCCCCUGGGACCCAUCUGACGCUGAGGCGCGAAGGCUGGGGGAGCGAACGGGAUUAGAUACCCCGGUAGUCCCAGCAGUAAACGAUGGGCGCUGGCUGUCGGCGGUUUGACCCCGUCGGUGGCUGAGCUAACGCGCAAGCGCCCCGCCUGGGGAGUACGGCCGCAAGGCUAAAACUCAAAGGAAUUGACGGGGGCCCGCACAAGCAGCGGAGCGUGUGGUUUAAUUCGACGCGACGCGCAGCACCUUACCAGGGCUUGACAUGGGAGUGCAAACGGUGGAAACACCGCUUCCUUCGAGGGUCUUCCACAGAUGCUGCAUGGCUGUCGUCAGCUCGUGCCGUGGGGUGUUGGGUUAAGUCCCGCAACGAGCGCAACCCUCGUCGCCAGUUGCAAGUGUCUGGCGAGACAGCCGGCCGCAAGCCGGAGGAAGGUGGGGAUGACGUCAAGUCCGCAUGGCUCUGACGCCCUGG